GACAGAGGUGCCGAGCGUUAGGCGGAAUCACUGGGCUUAAAGCGUGUGUAGGCGGGUCGUUAAGUGUCUUGUGAAAUCCCACCGCUCAACGGUGGAACCGCUGGGCAUACUGGCGAUCUUGAGCAGUCCAGGGGCGAGCGGAACAAGCGGUGGAGCGGUGAAAUGCGUAGAUAUCAUUUGGAACGCCAAUGGUGAAAACAACUCGCUGGGGAAGUGCUGACGCUGAGACACGAAAGCCAGGGGAGCGAACGGG
rnacentral:rRNA from 1 species